rnacentral:rRNA from 1 species
GAUGAACGCUGGCGGCGUGCCUAAUACAUGCAAGUCGAGCGAACAGACGAGGAGCUUGCUCCUCUGACGUUAGCGGCGGACGGGUGAGUAACACGUGGAUAACCUACCUAUAAGACUGGGAUAACUUCGGGAAACCGGAGCUAAUACCGGAUAAUAUAUUGAACCGCAUGGUUCAAUAGUGAAAGACGGUUUUGCUGUCACUUAUAGAUGGAUCCGCGCCGCAUUAGCUAGUUGGUAAGGUAACGGCUUACCAAGGCAACGAUGCGUAGCCGACCUGAGAGGGGUGACCGCCCCCCCGGGAACUGGACCCCGGCCCGGACCCCGCGGGGGGGCGCAAGAGGGGAUUUUCCCGAAAGGGGGGAAGCCGGGACGGACCAAGCCCGGGGGGUGGAUAAAGGUCUCCGGAUCUAAAACCUUUUUUAUGGGGAAAAAAAAAAUUGGUAAUAAAAUGGGCACGUUUGGAGGGUACCUAAUCGGAAACCCCGGCCAACCUCCGGC